rnacentral:rRNA from 1 species
GAUGAACGCUGGCGGCGUGCCUAAUACAUGCAAGUCGAGCGAACAGACGAGGAGCUUGCUCCUUCGACGUUAGCGGCGGACGGGUGAGUAACACGUAGGUAACCUACCUAUAAGACUGGGAUAACUUCGGGAAACCGGAGCUAAUACCGGAUAAUAUUUCGAACCGCAUGGUUCGAUAGUGAAAGAUGGCUUUGCUAUCACUUAUAGAUGGACCUGCGCCGUAUUAGCUAGUUGGUAAGGUAACGGCUUACCAAGGCGACGAUACGUAGCCGACCUGAGAGGGUGAUCGGCCACACUGGAACUGAGACACGGUCCAGACUCCUACGGGAGGCAGCAGUAGGGAAUCUUCCGCAAUGGGCGAAAGCCUGACGGAGCAACGCCGCGUGAGUGAUGAAGGUCUUCGGAUCGUAAAACUCUGUUAUUAGGGAAGAACAAACGUGUAAGUAACUGUGCACGUCUUGACGGUACCUAAUCAGAAAGCCACGGCUAACUACGUG